AGCUUAUCUUGCUUGGUUCCACACAGUUUGUUUGUUUUUUUUAACUGAUGAUUUUAACCUGUCUUUUUCCUACUUGUGCUAGAUUACAUUUGAAGGACUGUUCCCCGGUGGAGAUCACAGAAGUUGGGUGUUCCUGAGUGGCUGGUACAGUGCUGUGCAAUCACAUUGUUGCAUUGCUUUACCAAACUGCACACUACUGUGCUCUGAAUUUUACUUCAGUGCCACCAGUACUACUCUAAGCUGUACGGAAACUGAACAGAGCUGGCACAAACCAAGGACCAUGGGUGUUAAACCAGGCCGUGUGCGUGACAUGGUUUUUAAGUCUGCAAGACCAAAACAGCAGCGCAUGGUCGGAAAUGGUGUAAGGAGCAAACGUUACAGGGCAGUGCGAGGUGACACACCAGACCCUAAUGUUCUCAGGGUAGCAGAGGUGUACCAGGACUUUCCAGCUGACCUUGCACCUCUCAUUACUACAAUGGGAAUUUGUGCUGAUGUGCCUUUAGUGGAUUCAGCCUUUGGUAAGGUACAGGAAGGCAGUCCGUUAGCUUUUCAGCAUCCACUACCGGCAUGGAGUGGUGUGAUUUUGUCAU